rnacentral:rRNA from 1 species
GACGAACGCUGGCGGCGUGCCUAAUACGUGCAAGUAGAACGCUGAAGGAGGAGCUUGCUUCUCUGGAUGAGUUGCGAACGGGUGAGUAACGCGUAGGUAACCUGCCUGGUAGCGGGGGAUAACUAUUGGAAACGAUAGCUAAUACCGCAUAAGAGUAGAUGUUGCAUGACAUUUGCUUAAAAGGUGCAAUUGCAUCACUACCAGAUGGACCUGCGUUGUAUUAGCUAGUUGGUGAGGUAACGGCUCACCAAGGCAACGAUACAUAGCCGACCUGAGAGGGUGAUCGGCCACACUGGGACUGAGACACGGCCCAGACUCCUACGGGAGGCAGCAGUAGGGAAUCUUCGGCAAUGGGGGGAACCCUGACCGAGCAACGCCGCGUGAGUGAAGAAGGUUUUCGGAUCGUAAAGCUCUGUUGUAAGAGAAGAACGAGUGUGAGAGUGGAAAGUUCACACUG